UCUGUGGUGUCUGAGAGGGAGCCUGAGAGGUCUACAGAGAGCAUGGCUGGGCAGCAGGAAGAGGGUCCCUCAACCUCCACAGCACAGAUUGACACACUACCACUAAAAGAAAUCUACAAAGUGCAUUUAUUAAAAACAGUACAAAAAACAGAAAAAGAAAUGGUGCUGCUGGACCGCCAGAUAACUAAAACGGAUCUGGAAAUUGAAUUAUUAAAACACAAG